rnacentral:rRNA from 1 species
GGGCCCGCACAAGCAGUGGAGUAUGUGGUUUAAUUCGAAGCAACGCGAAGAACCUUACCAGGGCUUGACAUCCCUCGCAUACCAUAGAGAUAUGGUAGUCCUUCGGGACGAGGAGACAGGUGGUGCAUGGUUGUCGUCAGCUCGUGUCGUGAGAUGUUGGGUUAAGUCCCGCAACGAGCGCAACCCCUGCUGUUAGUUGCCAACACGUAAAGGUGUGCACUCUAACGGGACUGCCGGUGACAAAUCGGAGGAAGGUGGGGACGACGUCAAAUCAUCAUGCCCCUUAUGUCCUGGGCGACACACGUACUACAAUGGCUGGUACAGAGGGAAGCUAAGGAGCAAUCCGGAGCAAAUCCCCAAAGACAGUCUCAGUUCGGAUUGCGGGCUGAAACCCGCCCGCAUGAAGUCGGAAUUGCUAGUAAUGGCAGGUCAGCAUACUGCCGUGAAUACGUUCCCGGGCCUU